GGUAAACAAAGAAAGAAACUAAGAUUCGAUGGCAGAUUGGAGAAACAUGGCCAUAGUAUUUUGUAACUACGACCAUCUAAAGAUGCAGAAAAAAACAGAACGUGAAAGUUUUCUCCUGGAAGUCAAUGAAGAAAACAGAACCUAAAAGAAUCAUGUCUGACCACUGACUCCCUUAUCCUUCCGCUUCCCUCAUAGACAUGUGACUUCAUUAGCCUUUUUGACAAGGAAUGGU